CAAUGCCUCUGCAGUGCAGCC
rnacentral:miRNA from 14 species